rnacentral:rRNA from 1 species
GACGAACGCUGGCGGCGUGCUUAACACAUGCAAGUCGAACGUGAUUUUUGUGGAAAUUCUUUCGGGAAUGGAAAUGAAAUGAAAGUGGCGAACGGGUGAGUAACACGUGAGCAACCUACCUUACACAGGGGGAUAGCCGUUGGAAACGACGAUUAAUACCGCAUGAGACCACAGAAUCGCAUGAUAUAGGGGUCAAAGAUUUAUCGGUGUAAGAAGGGCUCGCGUCUGAUUAGCUAGUUGGAAGGGUAAAGGCCUACCAAGGCGACGAUCAGUAGCCGGUCUGAGAGGAUGAACGGCCACAUUGGAACUGAGACACGGUCCAAACUCCUACGGGAGGCAGCAGUGGGGAAUAUUGCACAAUGGGGGGAACCCUGAUGCAGCGACGCCGCGUGAGCGAAGAAGGUUUUCGAAUCGUAAAGCUCUGUCCUAUGAGAAGAUAAUGACGGUAUCAUAGGAGGAAGC